AGUGAACGCUGGCGGUAGGCCUAACACAUGCAAGUCGAACGGCAGCACAGUAAGAGCUUGCUCUUACGGGUGGCGAGUGGCGGACGGGUGAGGAAUACAUCGGAAUCUACUUUUUCGUGGGGGAUAACGUAGGGAAACUUGCGCUAAUACCGCAUACGACCUACGGGUGAAAGCAGGGGAUCUUCGGACCUUGCGCGAUUGAAUGAGCCGAUGUCGGAUUAGCUAGUUGGCGGGGUAAAGGCCCACCAAGGCGACGAUCCGUAGCUGGUCUGAGAGGAUGAUCAGCCACACUGGAACUGAGACACGGUCCAGACGCCUACGGGAGGCAGCAGUGGGGAAUAUUGGACAAUGGGCGCAAGCCUGAUCCAGCCAUACCGCGUGGGUGAAGAAGGCCUUCGGGUUGUAAAGCCCUUUUGUUGGGAGAGAAAAGCAGCAGGUUAAUACCCCGCUGUUCUGACGGUACCCAAAGAAUAAGCACCGGCUAACUUCGUG
rnacentral:rRNA from 1 species